rnacentral:misc_RNA from 1 species
UGACCGACGCGCACGCUCUUGAGAGGUUUCUCCCUCCGCCCGUCGUGCACCCUUCCAUGACGGACUGGAGGGCGGAGGCGUCUCGGGUUAUCAAAGCCUUCGAUGACGCGCUUGGACGACCACCCUUUCCUGUCAACGCCCCAGAUGACCUUGUCAGCAAGGCCCAAGCGGUGCAAGGGACACUUGGCACCGUCGCCGCGGCCGGCAAGCUCGAGUCCCUUGAGGGGGUGAGCGAGGUGACCACAACGUUGCCCAUCCUUUGCGCUUCGCUCAAGGAGGGCACGCCGAACCACACACCAUGUCUGCGGCUUUAUCGUCCACUGCUGCUGGCGGCCGCCCACGCCAGCUCACUAUCCACCUAUCCCAUCUCGUACCUUCUACGGGAUGCAGAGCAGGUGCUGGCUCCUCAAGAGGUGCCUUCACUGAGCGGCUCAUCUGUGGCGUGCACCCUCGCCAGAGCUUCGACGGCGGCGUCGAGGGAAGUCGACGGCGACGACGCAGAGGUGGAGAAGGAGGUGACGCUCUUUACAUUCAUGGCGCUCACUCACUCUUUGACGCCGGCCUACAUGCGCCGCUUUCUUCGCUUAGGGGCGCUCGAGCCCCCCGCUGCUGGGAACGCUGCCAAUAGCAAACCUGGGAAAGGCAAAGGAGGCGCCUCACAUGCCGGCGAUACCGACAAGAAGGCGCAUCCUUCUUCUCCAUCUACCACCGCGUCUGGCGCCAAUCGGGCAGGUGAAGUUGGCGGUGGCUACUCCGCUGUGCCGUGUGCCCUCUUGCACUCCAUGAUCGAAGCGCCGCUCUCUGAGGAGUGUCGUGCCGUUUUCGAGUCCUUCGUCGACAACACAGCUAAAUUUCUGGCCUGCGUCGCCGGAGACGGGGAGCUGGCGCGGCGCAUCUUGGAUGUCUACGCGGGCCACCUCGUUCCGAAGCUGAAGCCGUCUUCGCUGCUCCCCUGCCUCGACGCACCACUGCUGGACUACUUCGUGGACGUUGUCGCAGCCUCGCAGCGCGCUGGGCACACUACCUUGCUCUCUAGCCGCGAGCUUCGCGACGUAGCGCUUCGCGCGUGGGACGCAGCGCGCCUCCGCCGACUUUGCUGCGCAGCAGUGUCGCGGUCUAUCGGCACCGAGGACGCCACGGCGAGUUUGCUGGUGUACGUAUUUCUCUACCUCAUCUACUGCGACCUCGGCUCGGACGAAACCCCAACGACUCCCCCGCCGUCUCAGCCAGAUACUGCGGCGACGGAGCCACGCCUGUCGGUGACGGAAUCGCACUUGAUUGCUGCCGUCUGCAAGGCAAGCAAGGCGGUCUUUCUCGCCGACAGAGCGUCGGCGUCAUGCGCGUCUGUGUCCUCGGCAUACGUGCAGUCCGAGCUGGGUGUUCUCCUGGUGGAAGGGAGCGCUCUGCCGAUGGCGCUGGCGCCUCUGCAGGUCUUUGGGGAUCUCCUCCUGGCUCGACCGGCCGCAGUGGCGCUCUGGCGGAGAGGACUGGUGCGGCAGCUGGAGUGGGGAACGGAAGACGCCACUUUGAUGAUGGCGACAGCCACAGCGUCGGCAUCAUUGGUGGAGGCAAGCGUCGUCAGCGUCCUUGAGGGUGUCCUAAGGGGCGUCCCGAGAUCAGAUCAAGGUGUCCGCCCAUCCACAAAGCAUGAACAGGAGUCUGCAAAGGGUGGCGCUGCCAAGUCCAAGCGAAAGCAGAAGAGCGCCGCCGGUCGAAGCGGCAAAGGUUCUCGUAUCGAUGCCGCAUCGAGCUCACCGAAUGGGGGGCUGCCGAGUGCUGCAGCAGCAGCCGUUCCAGCGCCUGUUCCUCUCUCGGAGCUGCUCUCUGGCUGCUGCACCUGUCUUCUCUUGACGGCGCUGCUGCGUGCUGGCGCAGAGGCAUCACGCGGUGAGGGCGGGAGUUCCGUGGAUAGUGUGUGCUAUCAAGACGGACAUGUGCUUGACUGCGUCGUUCGCGCGUACUCCUAUCUCUUGCAGCACCAGUCGCAGCGCCUCAGCGCUGCCUUGUGGCACAAGUUCAGCAUAUUCACAUGCUUCAUGUGGCAGUGGGCAAUGACAGCGUUGUGCAGAGACACUGAAGGCGGUGGCAUGACGUACCUUGCAUCUAUGAGGACGCUCCUGAGUGCACCGUCGACGAUAGCCGUGUUGACCGCUCUCACAGAGGACACCGGCAGCAUGUUGUGGCUGUCGCCCCUCUUGCUGCCUUCGUAUUUCUUUCUACCAUCCACUUCGAAUGCGGCUGCAGAGAUGCUGUCGCAGGUGUUGUGGGGCUCUCCCUGCCGCGCGCUGUGGAUCGCUGUUGUGCGUGCCGCUGCAAGUGGAGAGAUCGUGGGAGGAGGAGGGAAGACAGCCGGGCAAGCAGCCAAGACCACUUCUUCGCUGUUGACGCAGCAGUUGCACCCGAUCCCCCCCGCCUUUCUGCUCGGUCUGUUGUGCAGUCAGUGGAGCGACCCCAUUGUUGCCGACGUCGCGGAGUGCGUUGCCGCCACCACGGUGGGCGCUGGCGACGGCACGGCGCUGGUGGCCAGCCUGAUCCGCAUGCGCACAUCAAGCGCAUGCGCCGGUGAUGUAGCGCUGCCGCCAACGUGCGGUCUUGCGUUCGAGCGUGCGCCGGCGUCCGCUUCCCAACACGGGCUUCAGCGUUUGCUGGACGAGGUGGAAAGGCUGCAGGAAAAGUACCUCACCGCAGCGAAAUCGGCACGGCAGGAGGCGCACGAAGAGGAUCGCCAACGGAUGCAGGAACAGCUGCAGAGCAUUCGCGCACUGGCUGACGCGCACCGUGCUUUUUGCAAUACGGCAGAGGCGAAGCGCGCUGCGAGGACUGCUGAGCAGCAGCAUGUGCAAGAGGAGCUCCAACGCCGCCGCGCCGCCCAUGUCGCACGCCUCCGUGACGAUGCAGCGGCACUGGAGCGAAAGCGGCAGGUUGCACUCGAAACACUGCGGCGCAAAGCAAUGCAGAGCCGUGUAGACGCCGAGGCAGCUCGUCAGCGGCGCUUCGACUCCUAUCGGCGCCGCCUGGAGAGCGAAUACCGCGUAUCAACUUUCCUGGAGCACCUGCAGCUGUCCUCGGCCCGCGUGAUGGAGGUUCGGGAGGCUCUGCGGACCUUCAUGGACAGCAUCACCCCGGAUGACCUUCUCGAGUAUUUAGUCUCUGGAAAGGCGAAGGUGCCCGCGGACAUGCUCGACGGUGAUGAGGAUGUGAAUGCUGCCGAUGAGAUUGAGGCCAGUGGCGGAAAUGUGGACCAGCGAACCGCUCCAAGUACUAAGCGAGCAACAGAUCCCCAAGCACCAGUGUCGCCGCCACCACGUCCCCCAGCCACCGGAGAGCGGCGCGACUUCUGGGCAGAUGUUAUGGACGGAGCCUCGACCAAUAGAGGGACUGGCUCCCCAGGUGAUGAGGACAGCAGCUAUCAUCGAAUCAGUGAGACCGCUCCAGCGCCGACGAUGAGGACGGCAGAUGCUAAUGUGGCUCCCGCCCCCCACAAUCGCUCUUUUCACGCUCGCAUCGCGCCGUUGAUGGAUCUCUUCUGCUACGAUGACGGGGACGAGUUUGGUCGUGUCCCUGAUAUGCUGCCGAUCGUUCGCCUGCGUAUGGCGUCCCGUGUGUGGCCGGCGCCGCAGGUGCAGUCACUUGGCUUCACCGACGUGCGCGACGCUUUUGAGCGAAUGAGAGACCGCGGACUUGUUUGCAUCCAAGACGAUGUGGCGCAGCUCACCCUUCUCGGCUUUCGCUACCACUACCCGUUUCACGACCCGGAUGGGAUGCUGGAGGUACACCUGCGCGAGGCACGAGAGCGCGUGCGGGCGUUGGUGGAGGCACGGAAAGGCUGGCGACGCGACAACGCCACCGACGAUGAGGGCAGCAAAGGUGGCGAGGACAUGGUCGCCAAAGAAGAGGAGGACGAGGAAGAUGAGGCGAGUGUGUACCCCAGCGAGGAUCGACUUCUGCCAGAUGUGGAGUUUGGUAUUUAGUGCCGCUUUCGCGCAGUGCUGUCGAGCCUCUCGUGUAUCCGUGAUGAGGAGGGACGACGUGCCGUGUGCAUGCGCGAUUGCUGCUAUGCUGCACGGCUCGGUGGAGAGGAACGCAGCCGCAUCCACGAAUACG